AGGAAUUUGUGAUAUUAUGUCAGUUCCAUUGCGAAACUCUCUUUUCGGAUUAAAUUGUACAAGAGAGCUGAAGCUAUCCCACUUUUGCUUUGGAGUCGCCUCAACUAAAAGAUCAUGUUCUUGAGACUCCUUGCGAAAUAACACCAUCAUCACAAAAAGGAAAAGAAAAGCAGACACAAUAAGAACUGAGAUUGUCUGCUGUUUG
rnacentral:misc_RNA from 1 species